GGGAGGCAAAGCCAGGCAGAUCUCUGA
rnacentral:piRNA from 1 species